GAAAGUUGAAUGGCAUAAAAUGAUAAGUUUAAGGAAUGUCAACUUUCCCAACCCCCAUGGGAAUAAGUUCUCAUUCUUUAAUCCCAAAAAUAUAUAAACCUCCCAUGUUUCAUUUUCAUUCCUUCUAUUUUAACAAGUAAAAUUGCCACUUCGGCCUUGGUCGGAGUAGUGGGCUGCUGCCCUCACAAGCAUUGUGAGGGCAGCGGUUCAAGCCCCCACAAAAGCAUUUGUGGGGGCUAACGUGCUUAUUUGUUUAAUAUUUCAAAAAUUUCCUCUCCCUCGUGCAAUACGAGUGGAGUAUGGACAUCCCUCUUCUGUAAGGGAUUAUUUGUCUGGGCAUGUACUUCACAGAAUUCAAUGUAAUAAUAUAAGUCCCAAUCAUGUAUUUCUGAUUGUAAAUAUCAGUGUAAUAUAUCUGCUAUAAUAGCAGUUGUAAAUAUCUGUGUAAUGCAGUAAUAUGAUGAUUAAUCAGUAUUAAAAAAAAAAAAAACAGGUAAACAUUAUUAAUUUUUUCUAUUCCAAACUUUGAUUCCCUAAUCCCACAAGUAAAUACACAAUAGAUGUAGUCAUAUAUGAGAAAAUCAGCAGACAAUCAUUAACUAAUAAGAAAAUAUUAAGGACUGGAUAACAUUGCCCAUGAACGUAUUCUAGAAGCCCAUAAAACAUUGGAAACUAGACAUCAUCUGCGGACUCCAAAAGGAAAAUAACCUUUAAUCAAAAAGGGAAAAGCUCAGGGACU
rnacentral:lncRNA from 1 species